AAAGCCGGUCCUGCCCAUAAGAUGGAGCCCCAAGAUGUAGCGUCCCUGUACUUGGGUUCCAGCUGCUAUCACAAAAAAGUUGUCUUGAGGCUGUGAGAGAACGCAGGACAUAAAGAUUUUCUACAACUGUCAAAUCCCCACCAAAAUGUUACGUUAAAGGCCUUUACUUACCAGAAGUACCAAGCCAAGCGACAAGCGGUAGGGAACAGAAGUCAGAUGUCAAAGUGGGAGAUGCGGGAGACCCUGGUUUGCAGCAUGCAGGACAACGCGUUUCGAAAGGUAUAUCCCUUUCUUUAUCAGGUUCUUCCCAGGACCUCCUGAAUUCUUCUUCUCAUCUGUUACUACACAACGUGUCCAACCUUGAAGCAGAUGGGCUACAGCAGCAGAAGACCACACCGGGGGCCUCUCCUGUCAGCUAAAAACAGCAAAAUGAGGCCACAAUUCACACAGGAACCAAAACUGGAGAAUGGGAGAUGGAAGAACGUUGUCUG